rnacentral:rRNA from 1 species
UACGGAGGGUGCAAGCGUUAUCCGGAUUCACUGGGUUUAAAGGGUGCGUAGGCGGGCAGGUAAGUCAGUGGUGAAAUCUCCAAGCUUAACUUGGAAACUGCCGUUGAUACUAUCUGUCUUGAAUAUUGUGGAGGUGAGCGGAAUAUGUCAUGUAGCGGUGAAAUGCUUAGAUAUGACAUAGAACACCAAUUGCGAAGGCAGCUCACUACUCAAUCAUUGACUCUGAGGCACGAAAGCGUGGGGAGCAAACAGG